rnacentral:rRNA from 1 species
GACGAACGCUGGCGGCGUGCUUAACACAUGCAAGUCGAACGGUGAACUCCGCUUGCGGGGGGAUCAGUGGCGAACGGGUGAGUAACACGUGGGCAACCUGCCCUCAGCUCUGGGAUAACUCCAAGAAAUUGGGGCUAAUACCGGAUAUGACCGCUGACCGCAUGGUCUGGUGGUGGAAAGAUUUAUCGGCUGGGGAUGGGCCCGCGGCCUAUCAGCUUGUUGGUGGGGUAGUGGCCUACCAAGGCGCCGACGGGUAGCCGGCCUGAGAGGGUGACCGGCCACACUGGGACUGAGAGACGGCCCAGACUCCUACGGGAGGCAGCAGUGGGGAAUAUUGCGCAAUGGGCGAAAGCCUGACGCAGCGACGCCGCGUGGGGGAUGACGGCCUUCGGGUUGUAAACCUCUUUCAGCAGGGACGAAGCGAAAGUGACGGUACCUGCAGAAGAAGCACCGGCCAACUACGUG